rnacentral:lncRNA from 1 species
GGAUUAUCAAACAGUUUGGUCUUUCCAUCCACACUGGGAGGAUUUCCAAAAUGCCACAAUCAGCAGGGAGAACUGGCGAGUAUAAGUGGACUCAGCGCCCACCCAGAUAGGAACCCAGGAAUUCCCUGAGAGAAUGAACAUUGAAAGAGAGCCUACCGGACAGAAGGGUUUGAUAAACACAACUGAGAAUCAUGUUACACACCCGUCUGGCAUACAAAAUCAGUGCCCCAAAGCUGUCUGUGCGUGAGUCUGUAUCCACGCUGGACAGGGUGUUUGAUUGCUUGGAAUACUGUGACCUGAAAAGGAAUCCUUUUUGGACAAGGGUUCUCUAGAUCUUGGUAGAGAGGUCAGGAGGGACAGAUGGGGUUGCUGGGAUCAGAGGACCUGACAAGACAAAAAAAGGUAUUAGCUGCAAAAUCUGGAGGGUCUUUAUUUU